rnacentral:ribozyme from 1 species
CGAAAAAUGAAGGCACAAAAGAAAAAAGAAACAACAAAGUCGUGAAUGUGAAAAGACAAAAUUGUCAAAAUAAAAUCAAGUUUGCUUGACCAUGCUGUUUGCACUUUCUGCUGCU